rnacentral:rRNA from 1 species
GCCCAGACUCCUACGGGAGGCAGCAGUGGGGAAUAUUGCACAAUGGGGGAAACCCUGAUGCAGCGACGCCGCGUGAGCGAUGAAGUAUUUCGGUAUGUAAAGCUCUAUCAGCAGGGAAGAAAAUGACGGUACCUGACUAAGAAGCCCCGGCUAACUACGUGCCAGCAGCCGCGGUAAUACGUAGGGGGCAAGCGUUAUCCGGAUUUACUGGGUGUAAAGGGAGCGUAGACGGCAAUGCAAGCCAGAUGUGAAAGCCCGGGGCUCAACCCCGGGACUGCAUUUGGAACUGUGUAGCUGGAGUGUCGGAGAGGCAGGCGGAAUUCCUAGUGUAGCGGUGAAAUGCGUAGAUAUUAGGAGGAACACCAGUGGCGAAGGCGGCCUGCUGGACGAUGACUGACGUUGAGGCUCGAAAGCGUGGGGAGCAAACAGGAUUAGAUACCCCUGUA